rnacentral:rRNA from 1 species
AUUGAACGCUGGCGGCAGGCUUAACAUAUGCAAGUCGAGCGGGGAAGGGUAGCUUGCUACCUAACCUAGCGGCGGACGGGUGAGUAAUGCUUAGGAAUCUGCCAUUUAGUGGGGGAGAACAUUGCGAAAGGUAUGCUAAUACCGCAUCCGUCCUACGGGAGAAAGCAGGGGAUCGUCGGACCCAGCGCUAAAGGAUGAGCCGAAGUCGGAUUAGAUAGUUGGUGGGGUGAAGGCCUACCAAGCCGACGAUCUGUAGAGGGUCUGAGAGGAUGAUCAGCCACACUGGUACUGAGACACGGCCCAGACUCCUACGGGAAGCAGCAGUGGGGAAUUUUGGACAAUGGGGGCAACCCUGAUCCAGCAAUGCCGCGUGCAGGAAGAAGGCCUUCGGGUUGUAAACUGCUUUUGUCAAGGAAGAAAUCCUCUGGGUUAAUACCUCGGGGGGAUGACGGUACCUUAAGAAUAAGCACCGGCUAACUACGUGCCAGCAGCCGCAGUAAUAC